CCUACAUGGGCGCCUAGACAAAUGUAGCCAGACUUGGGCACCAGGGCAACAUUUGAACGCAGAUGUGUAUAUGUGUAUAAGUUUGGCGUUUGAAUUCAGAGAUGGCGUUUGAAUACCUCAACAGGUAAUAGGGAAGGCUAAGCUUUUACCCCAUCCCUCCUUCUUUGCCUCCCUCCCCCCUUUUCUUAUAACAUACAUGAUCAGUCACCCCCACCAAAGAGGAUGCCCCGCACGCCAGCUUCUCAGCUCGGAGUAAUUUAUACAACAACAGGUCAUUCUGCAUGGCCUUAUACCAGUAACUCACCAUGGCCCCCAAAUACCUGGAGCACACUUAGUUUUACUGCAUACAUUUACUGCUUGCAUCUUGAAGUCUAGGUACUCUCACCAGGUCAGAGCCCUAACUCCCAGUCCACUAUAGACAUACACAGAUUUGCAUUACCGAUGUACGGUCCAUGAGAUCCUGGUAGCCAAGCACUCUUUACCCUGAAAAGACUGCUGAAGGAUAGUUAUGCUGGUUAACUCGAACUUUGCGAUUACAUUCAUGUGUGUGUCUGGUCCCUUGAUAUCAAUAUGCCGAAUACCAAUUGUUGGUCUCACAUUACUUUCACUAUAGUUUGCUAUUUGUUAACUUGUUGUAAUACCUCAAUAAAAACAGAUUGUCAAAAAAACAAAAACAAAACUAUGUACAAUUGGUCGAGUGGAAACCAUCACUUUAUACUUUUUCAUAAAAGCGUAUCAAUUAAACUGUUAAUAGCUCCCAACUGAUUCCUUUUUGCAACUGUCAUUACAUAGUUACAUAGCUGUCAGUCUAAUAAUAUCCUUACCUUUUUGUGUCACUUUACCCCACUCUCUCUAGCAUGUAAGCUGAUUGAGAAAGACCCUUAACCCCUCUGUUCAGGUGUGUCCAACUUGUUUGACUACAACUCCAUGUUUGUUCGUCCAUCCACUGUAAAGCGCUGUGCAAUUUGUUGGCGCUAUAUAAAUAAUAAC